CAGCGACGCCGCGUGAGGGAUGACGGCCUUCGGGUUGUAAACCUCUUUCAGCAGGGAAGAAGCGAAAGUGACGGUACCUGCAGAAGAAGCGCCGGCUAACUACGUGCCAGCAGCCGCGGUAAUACGUAGGGCGCAAGCGUUGUCCGGAAUUAUUGGGCGUAAAGAGCUCGUAGGCGGCUUGUCACGUCGGUUGUGAAAGCCCGGGGCUUAACCCCGGGUCUGCAGUCGAUACGGGCAGGCUAGAGUUCGGUAGGGGAGAUCGGAAUUCCUGGUGUAGCGGUGAAAUGCGCAGAUAUCAGGAGGAACACCGGUGGCGAAGGCGGAUCUCUGGGCCGAUACUGACGCUGAGGAGCGAAAGCGUGGGGAGCGAACAGGAUUAGAUACCCUGGUAGUCCACGCCGUAAACGGUGGGCACUAGGUGUGGGCAACAUUCCACGUUGUCCGUGCCGCAGCUAACGCAUUAAGUGCC
rnacentral:rRNA from 1 species